UUUCCGUAGGUGAACCUGCGGAAGGAUCAUUAUUGAAUGAACUUGACUUGGUUGCUGCUGGUCUUUUCGAAGGCAUGUGCACACUUUGUCAUCUUUAUAUCUCCACCUGUGCACCUUUUGUAGACCUGAAACCAAAUUUCCGAGGCAACUCGGUCGUGAGGAAAUGCUUAACAGCUUUCCUUGUUAGGUUCCAGGGCUAUGUUUUCAUAUACACCAUAAGAAUGUAACAGAAUGUCAUUAUUAGGCUUAGUUGCCUUAUAAACUAUAUACAACUUUCAGCAACGGAUCUCUUGGCUCUG
rnacentral:misc_RNA from 1 species